UACGGAGGGGGCUAGCGUUGUUCGGAAUUACUGGGCGUAAAGGGCUCGUAGGCGCCAACUAAGUCGGAUGUGAAAUCCCCAGGCUUAACCUGGGAACUGCAUCCGAUACUGGUUGGCUUGAAUCCGGGAGAGGGACGUGGAAUUCCAGGUGUAGCGGUGGAAUGCGUAGAGAUCGGGAAGAACAUCGGUGGCGAAGGCGGCCUGCUGGGCUCUUGCUGACACUGAGGCGCGACAGCGUGGGGAGCAA
rnacentral:rRNA from 1 species